rnacentral:rRNA from 1 species
CCUACGGGUGGCAGCAGUGGGGAAUAUUGGACAAUGGGGGAAACCCUGAUCCAGCGACGCCGCGUGAGUGAAGAAGUAUUUCGGUAUGUAAAGCUCUAUCAGCAGGAAAGAAAAUGACGGUACCUGACUAAGAAGCCCCGGCUAACUACGUGCCAGCAGCCGCGGUAAUACGUAGGGGGCAAGCGUUAUCCGGAUUUACUGGGUGUAAAGGGAGCGUAGACGGCAGGGCAAGUUUGGAGUGAAAUGCCGGGGCCCAACCCCGGAACUGCCCUGGAAACCGUGAAGCUGGAGUGCAGGAGAGGUAAGCGGAAUUCCUGGUGUAGCGGUGAAAUGCGUAGAUAUCAGGAGGAACACCGGCGGCGAAGGCGGCUUACUGGACUGUAACUGACGUUGAGGCUCGAAGGCGUGGGGAGCAAACAGGAUUAGAUACCCCAGUAGUC